rnacentral:rRNA from 1 species
UACGUAGGGUGCAAGCGUUGUCCGGAAUUAUUGGGCGUAAAGAGCUCGUAGGCGGUUUGUCACGUCAGUUGUGAAAACUCGGGGCUCAACCCCGAGCCUGCAAUCGAUACGGGCAGACUAGAGUGCUGUAGGGGAGACUGGAAUUCCUGGUGUAGCGGUGAAAUGCGCAGAUAUCAGGAGGAACACCGGUGGCGAAGGCGGGUCUCUGGGCAGUAACUGACGCUGAGGAGCGAAAGCGUGGGGAGCAAACAGG